CUUGGUCAUUUAGAGGAAGUAAAAGUCGUAACAAGGUUUCCGUAGGUGAACCUGCGGAAGGAUCAUUACCGAGUUCAUGCCCUCACGGGUAGAUCUCCCACCCUUUGUAUACCAUACCUUUGUUGCUUUGGCGGGCCGCCUAGCUACUGGCUUCGGCUGGUAAGUGCCCGCCAGAGGACCCAAAACCCUGAAUAUUAGUGUCGUCUGAGUAAAAUUUUAAUAUUUAAAACUUUCAACAACGGAUCUCUUGGCUCUGGCAUCGAUGAAGAACGCAGCGAAAUGCGAUAAGUAAUGUGAAUUGCAGAAUUCAGUGAAUCAUCGAAUCUUUGAACGCACAUUGCGCCCCUUGGUAUUCCGAGGGGCAUGCCUAUUCGAGCGUCAUUAUCACCCCUCAAGCUUCGGCUUGGUGUUGAGGCCUGCUGUAAAGGCACCCUCUAAAAUCAGUGGCAGUGCUGUCAGGCUCUAAGCGUAGUAAUUUCAUCGCUAUAGGGUCCUGGUGGAUACUCGUCAAAACCCCCCCAUUUUUUAAUGAUUGACCUCGGAUUAGGUAGGGAUACCCGCUGAACUUAAGCAUAUCAAUAAGCGGAGGAAAAGAAACCAACAGGGAUUGCCUCAGUAACGGCGAGUGGAGCGGCAAAAGCUCAAAUUUGAAAUCUGGCUCUUUUAGGGUCCGAGUUGUAAUUUGUAGAAGAUGUUUCGGGUGUGGCUCCGGUUUAAGUUCUUUGGAAUAUUACAUCAUAGAGGGUGAGAAUCCCGUAUGUGACCGGCAGCCUUCGCCUAUGUGAAACUCUUUCGACGAGUCGAGUUGUUUGGGAAU
rnacentral:sRNA from 1 species